rnacentral:rRNA from 1 species
CAUAGGUUAAUGAGGCGAACCGGGGGAACUGAAACAUCUAAGUACCCCGAGGAAAAGAAAUCAACCGAGAUUCCCCCAGUAGCGGCGAGCGAACGGGGAGCAGCCCAGAGCCUGAAUCAGUGUGUGUGUUAGUGGAAGCGUCUGGAAAGGCGCGCGAUACAGGGUGACAGCCCCGUACACAAAAAUGCACAUGCUGUGAGCUCGAUGAGUAGGGCGGGACACGUGGUAUCCUGUCUGAAUAUGGGGGGACCAUCCUCCAAGGCUAAAUACUCCUGACUGACCGAUAGUGAACCAGUACCGUGAGGGAAAGGCGAAAAGAACCCCGGCGAGGGGAGUGAAAAAGAACCUGAAACCGUGUACGUACAAGCAGUGGGAGCACGCUUAGGCGUGUGACUGCGUACCUUUUGUAUAAUGGGUCAGCGACUUAUAUUCUGUAGCAAGGUUAACCGAAUAGGGGAGCCGAAGGGAAACCGAGUCUUAACUGGGCGUUAAGUUGCAGGGUAUAGACCCGAAACCCGGUGAUCUAGCCAUGGGCAGGUUGAAGGUUGGGUAACACUAACUGGAGGACCGAACCGACUAAUGUUGAAAAAUUAGCGGAUGACUUGUGGCUGGGGGUGAAAGGCCAAUCAAACCGGGAGAUAGCUGGUUCUCCCCGAAAGCUAUUUAGGUAGCGCCUCGUGAAUUCAUCUCCGGGGGUAGAGCACUGUUUCGGCAAGGGGGUCAUCCCGACUUACCAACCCGAUGCAAACUGCGAAUACCGGAGAAUGUUAUCACGGGAGACACACGGCGGGUGCUAACGUC